rnacentral:lncRNA from 1 species
AACCCUGAGUCUGGACACUACUCACCAAGGGGGUCAGAUGGGAGCUUGCCUGAUCGUCUCCUCAUCGGCCUGGACUCCAGAGCCAACCCAGCUGAGUGUGUGCAGAGAGUCCCAGGUGAGGGGCACCGCUCAGGACUCAGCAGAGACCACCCCGGAGAAGCUGAUGCUGGUGGAGACAGACCUGUCCUACUGAGCCAGGCCUCUGCAAAGCCUGCUCAGGCGCUGUCCACACCCCAAGGCCUGGGCUCAGGCCGAAGUGGCCCCACAACACCCCCAGCUGACAACCAGCGACUGGCAGAGUCCCCAAGCACGGGGGCCCUCUGUUUACCAGAGAUAACCAGUGUGACAGCCCAGGCGGCAGAGCCGAGGGUGAGUGCACCUUGGGGAAUGGGGAUGAGAAGGAAAGAUGCUAAUGAGUCAGUUUCAUGUGGUAUGGCCAUCUUGUCCUGCUGUUGGGCCUCUCUCUCCAAGACAGUGAUGCUAUCUAUCCUCUUGGACCCUAUAGACUAUCGAAGUGUAUGUAUACCCGAUUGAAGACCUGCAAGUGAUUUGGGCUUGGGCCAGGGGCUGGAACACAGAGGAACAAUGGAAGCAUAGAGAAAGGGCUCAU